UUGAAAAGGCACAGAACUUUUGUGCUCCGAGACCUCCAGCAACAGUGCUUCUAGCCCAGCCUGAAAGUUAAGAUCCAAAAAUUCACAGUCUUCAGCUUGCUCAUGACGUUCCUUAUCUGCAUCAUCUGCUUGAUUAAGAUCCUUUUCUUCUGCUUCUCCUUGAUCAACACUGCGAUAUUCUACUUGUUCAAGGUCUGUUCCAUCUUUCUUCCAUCUGAGCGCCUUUCACUUGAUUGUCCUGUAUGAGAUCCUGGUGCAUCUGUUCCACAGUUACCUGUGCAGGAUCCACUUGUACCUGAAUUACUGCAAAAAGUACUGCCUCAACAGCAGACAUACUGUUUUCACAAAGCACAUGAGCUCCCUUCCUUCCCUUCAGCUGGCACUGGACCGCCAGCUCCAGACUGACAGGCUGUCAGGUGACAUUUCAGUGUGCUAUUCCGAGCGAAACGUUCAUGGCAGUUUGGACAUUCAAAGGGUUUUUCACCUGUUGAGACAGAUACAAGGAUUUGUAAGUGAAUAAAACCACCCAGUCUUC